rnacentral:rRNA from 1 species
AUUGAACGCUGGCGGCAGGCCUAACACAUGCAAGUCGAACGAGUGGCGGACGGGUGUGUAAUGUCUGGGAAACUGCCUGAGGGAGGGGGAUAACUACCGGAAACGGUAGCUAAUACCGCAUACCAUCAGAUAUGCCCAGAGGGGAUUAGCUUGUUGGUGGGGUAACGGGUCACCAAGGCGACGAUCCCUAGCUGGUCUGAGAGGAGGACAAUCCACCAGAGAACGGAAACACGGUCCGGACUCAUACGGGAUGCAGCAAUGGGGAAUAUUGCACAAGUGGCGCAAGCCUGCUGCAGCCAUGCCGCGGAGCUGAAGAGGGCAUGCGGGUUGUAAAGUACUUUCAGCGGGAAGGCGUUACCCGAAGAAGAAGCACCGGCUAACUCCGUGCCAGCAGCCGCGGUAAUAC